AGGGAGACCUAAUUCGGGUAGAAGACGAAAAAAUAGUAGUCGAAACCAAGAAUCAAUCCCAAAAGGUCGGAACGAGGUAUGUGGCUUUCAAACUAGGUUCUGGGUUCACAAAAGACCUGAAUCAGGAACAAGGGCUAUUAGCUCAGGUGGUUAGAGCGCACCCCUGAUAAGGGUGAGGCCCCUGGUUCGAGUCCAGGAUGGCCCACCUGCACAGGUGGCAAAAACAAGAGAAACGAGGAAUCAGCACCUUAUCUUACUUACAUAGUAAGAGAGAAUGCUGGCUCUGAGUAAAGAGUCCAGAGGAACCUUGAAAACUGCAUAGAGCUAGGUGAAAAAGCCAAAAAAGAAGACCGCAA
rnacentral:tRNA from 1 species